rnacentral:rRNA from 1 species
AUUGAACGCUGGCGGCAGGCCUAACACAUGCAAGUCGAGCGAGCGGCGGACGGGUGAGUAAUGUAUGGGGACUGCCCGAUAGAGGGGGAUAACUACUGGAAACGGUGGCUAAUACCGCAUACUAUCGGAUAACCCAUAUGGGAGUAGCUAGUAGGUGGGGUAAAGGCUCACCUAGGCGACGAUCUCUAGCUGGUCUGAGAGGAUGAUCAGCCACACGGGGACGUAGACACGGCCCAGACUCCUACGGAGUCAGCAGGGGGGGAGAUUGUACAAUGGGCGCAAGCCUGAUGCAGCCAUGCCGCGUGUAUGGAGAGGGCCUUAGGGUUGUAAAGUACUUUCAGCGGGGAGGCGUUACCCGCAGAAGAAGCACCGGCUAACUCCGUGCCAGCCGCCGCGGUAAUUC